GUUUUCCCCUAGCUCUGUACCAGCACGGCCUCCACCAGGCAUCAUGGACAACAAUUCUGUAAAUGCAACGAUACGACACAUGAGUGGAACUCCAUCUGGACAUGUUGGCCAACAAUCUCCUCCUAACAUCUAUAGACGGCAGGGCGGCAUGGAUAUCAACUCUGUAAAUGUUGUGCCACAUCAAAUGAAUGGAAAUUCAUAUGGACAUGUUACUGGACAAGCUUUUCCAAUGCCUUAUCAACAGGAUGGUAGUGGAAACAAUUCUGCUAGUGUAGAUUUACAGAGAAUGGAUGGAAGUACCUUCCGGUAUUCAGCACGGCAGAACACUUUUCAGCCGGUAAUAAUAACAAAACUUUGUCAAGUCAUUUGAAUUUAUUCAUUCAUCAGUGCACAAGAUUGAAUGAUUUCACAGCUCUUGGUUUUUCUUUUUGCAGGAAUCAAUGCAACGAAGUUCUACAAACGUACUGGAGAGAAUGUGGGGAUCUUCCAUCAGAGACCAAGGGACUCCUACAACAAACUAUCACAGCAGCCACAUGAGGGACAGGGAUACCACUGACAAUGGAGGAGACGAUUUUUUCUAAUAGGAUGCAGUAACAUUUUAGUCAUAUUGGAACUUAUCCGUAGAUAAUAUUAGUCGUUUAUCUAUCACUUGUUUUAAAUGUUAGAUUUCCAAUUCUUUAUUUACUUGUGAAAGACUACAAACAUAACUUUGCUUUUAUUCUCUAAUGAUGCAAGGACAUGAUAUCUCUAUACUG